GUGUGCAGAGACACUGAGGUGGGGUGGAUCCAUGGAGGAGGCGUGCAGAGACACUGAGGUGGGUGGAUCCAUGGAGGAGGCAGAGACACUGAGGUGGGGUGGAUCCAUGGAGGAGGCAGAGACACUGAGGUGGUGUGGAUCCAUGGAGGAGGCAGAGACACUGAGGUGGGGUGGAUCCAUGGAGGAGGCAGAGACACUGAGGUGGGGUGGAUCCAUGGAGGAGGCAGAGACACUGAGGUGGGGUGGAUCCAUGGAGGAGGCAGAGACACUGAGGUGGGAUGGAUCCAUGGAGGAGGCAGAGACACUGAGGUGGGGUGGAUCCAUGGAGGAGGCAGAGACACCGAGGUGGGGUGGAUCCAUGGAGGAGGCGUGCAGAGACACUGAGGUGGGUGGAUCCAUGGAGGAGGCAGAGACACUGAGGUGGGGUGGAUCCAUGGAGGAGGCAGAGACACUGAGGUGGGAUGGAUCCAUGGAGGAGGCAGAGACACUGAGGUGGGGUGGAUCCAUGGAGGAGGCAGAGACACCGAGGUGGGGUGGAUCCAUGGAGGAGGCAGAGACACUGAGGUGGAUCCAUGGAGGAGGCAGAGACACCGAGGUGGGUGGAUCCAUGGAGGAGGCAGAGACACUGAGGUGGUGUGGAUCCAUGGAGGAGGCAGAGACACUGAGGUGGGGUGGAUCCAUGGAGGAGGCAGAGACACUGAGGUGGGUGGAUCCAUGGAGGAGGCA
ensembl:lncRNA